AUGGGAGUUGUAGGCUCAGGGCACGGGAGUUGUAGGAGCAGACGUGGCUUUCUCGAAGGGCACGACGGGAGUUGUAGGCCCCUCUUCAAUGGCGCCACAAGAAGCCGCGAGGCAUGACGGGAUCUGCAGUCCAGCCUUUAAUGUCUCUCUAUGGCGCCGCGGCGCAUGACGGGAAUUGCCCCAGAGCCGCGUCCGGAGCCAUGAUGGCCGCCAAGGUGAAGGUGGAGAAGCCAGGUGAGCUCGGCCGAGAGCCCCAAAAACCCCCAAAAAACACAAAAUUACCCCAAAAUCCCACCCCAAAAUCCCUCAAAUCCCCUCAGGAAUCGCCCAAAUCCCAAAAGAUUCCCCGAAUUUAUCCCAAAUCCCCGCCGCGACUCCACAAAUCCCAAAAAUUCCCCAAAUAUUCCCGAAAUUCCCCCCAAAAUUCCUCCCAGACUCUUCCAGAACCCCCAAAUUUCCCUCAAUUCCCAACUUUUCCCUCAAAUUUCUUGAGAUCCUCUCUCAGGACCCUCAAAAUUCCUCAAAUUUCCAGAGCUGGACCCAAAAAUUCCCCAAAAUUCUGAAUUUUUUCCAGAGCUGGAGCCCCAAAUUCCCCCAAAAUUCCCCUUUAAAACCCCAAAAUUCCCCCAAAAUUCCACUUUAACCUCCCCAAAAAUCCUUUUUAAACCCCUAAAAUCCCCCAAAUUCCCUCAACUCCCUCAAAAUUCCCCAACUUUCCAAAUUAAACCCCAAAAUUCACGUUUAAAUUCCUCUUUAAACUCCCAAAAAUCCUUUUUAAAUCCCCAAAUCCCCUCAGGACCCCAAAAUUUUAAAAAU